UGGGGAAUAUUGGACAAUGGGCGCAAGCCUGAUCCAGCAAUGCCGCGUGUGUGAAGAAGGCCUUCGGGUUGUAAAGCACUUUAAGUUGGGAAGAAAAAACUCGCUCUAAUACAGUGAGUCUUGACGGUACCGACAGAAUAAGCACCGGCUAACUCUGUGCCAGCAGCCGCGGUAAUACAGAGGGUGCAAGCGUUAAUCGGAUUUACUGGGCGUAAAGCGUGCGUAGGCGGUUCGUUAAGUCGGUUGUGAAAGCCCUGGGCUCAACCUGGGAAUUGCAGUCGAUACUGGCGGACUAGAGAACGGUAGAGGGAGGCGGAACUCCAGGUGUAGCGGUGAAAUGCGUAGAUAUCUGGAAGAACACCGAUGGCGAAGGCAACCUCCUGGGCCUGUUCUGACGCUGAGGCACGAAAGCGUGGGUAGCAAACAGGAUUAGAUACCCCCGUAGUCC
rnacentral:rRNA from 1 species